AGUGUACUAGUGUAGUGGUUAUCACACAUAUGGGAUUCUGAUGGUAUAUAUUGGUCCUUACUUAUUCCCAUGACCCAGGUUCGAGUCCUGGCAGGACCU